CUUUAUUGGAGAGUUUGAUCCUGGCUCAGGACGAACGCUGGCGGCAUGCCUAAUACAUGCAAGUCGAGCGGACUUUCUGAGAAGCUUGCUUCUCUGAUGGUUAGCGGCGGACGGGUGAGUAACACGUAGGCAACCUGCCCUCAAGUUUGGGACAACUACCGGAAACGGUAGCUAAUACCGAAUAGUUGUUUUCUUCUCCUGAAGAGAACUGGAAAGACGGAGCAAUCUGUCACUUGGGGAUGGGCCUGCGGCGCAUUAGCUAGUUGGUGGGGUAACGGCUCACCAAGGCG
rnacentral:rRNA from 1 species